UCUGUCUCAGCAGAACGUAGUAGUGUCUGCACCAUGGCUUGGACUUCUCUCCUCUUCUUCCUCCUUCAUUGUACAGGUUCUUUCUCCCAACCUGUGCUGACUCAGUUAACCUCAGCCUCUGCCUCAAUGGGAGCCUCAGCCAAACUCACCUGCACCUUGAGUAGUGAGCACAGUACUUACACUAUUGAAUGGUUCCAGCAAGAGCAAGACAAAGCUCCUAAUUAUAUAAUGUCGCUUAAGAAAGAUGGAAGCCACCAGAAAGGGAAUGGGAUCCCUGAUCACUUCUCUGGAUCCAGCUCUGGGGCUGAUCGCUACCUAAGUAUCUCCAACAUCCAGCCAGAAGAUGAAGCAGUCUACAUCUGUGGUGCAGAUUAUAACAUUGGAGGACAAUAUGGGUUAACACAAAGAGACAGAUGA